UACGGAGGGUGCUAACGUUGUUCGGAAUUACUGGGCAUAAAGCGCGCGUAGGCGGUCUGCUAAGUCGGUUGUGAAAGCCCCCGGCUCAACCGGGGAAUUGCGUUCGAUACUGGCAGGCUUGAGGACGGUUGGGGUGAGUGGAACUCCAGGUGGAGCGGUGAAAUGCGUAGAUAUCUGGAGGAACACCGGUGGCGAAAGCGGCUCACUGGACCGUAACUGACGCUGAGGUGCGAAAGCUAGGGGAGCAAAC
rnacentral:rRNA from 1 species